rnacentral:rRNA from 1 species
UACGUAGGUGGCAAGCGUUGUCCGGAUUUAUUGGGUUUAAAGGGUGCGUAGGCGGUUCUAUAAGUCAGUGGUGAAAUCCGGCAGCUCAACUGUCGAUGUGCCAUUGAUACUGCAGAACUUGAGUACAGACGAGGUAGGCGGAAUUGACGGUGUAGCGGUGAAAUGCUUAGAUAUCGUCAAGAACACCGAUAGCGAAGGCAGCUUACUAGACUGUAACCGACGCUGAUGCACGAAAGUGUGGGGAUCAAACAGG